GACGAACGCUGGCGGCGUGCCUAAUACAUGCAAGUCGAACGCAUUUUCUUUCACCGUAGCUUGCUACACCGAAAGAAAAUGAGUGGCGAACGGGUGAGUAACACGUGGGCAACCUGCCCAUCAGCGGGGGAUAACACUUGGAAACAGGUGCUAAUACCGCAUAAUUCCAUUUACCGCAUGGUAGAGGGAUGAAAGGCGCUUUUGCGUCACUGAUGGAUGGACCCGCGGUGCAUUAGCUAGUUGGUGGGGUAACGGCCUACCAAGGCUGCGAUGCAUAGCCGACCUGAGAGGGUGAUCGGCCACACUGGGACUGAGACACGGCCCAGACUCCUACGGGAGGCGGCAGUAGGGAAUCUUCGGCAAUGGACGCAAGUCUGACCGAGCAACGCCGCGUGAGUGAAGAAGGGUUUCGGAUCGUAAAACUCUGUUGUUAGAGAAGAACAAGGAUGAGAGUGGAAAGUUCAUCCCUUGACGGUAUCUAACCAGAAAGCCACGGCUAACUACGUG
rnacentral:rRNA from 1 species